rnacentral:tRNA from 1 species
GGACGCAUAGCUCAAUGGUAGAGCAAUAGACUUUUAAUCUAAAGGUUCAAGGUUCAAAUCCUUGUGCGUUC